rnacentral:lncRNA from 12 species
AGGUGCGCGCGCACAGCUCCUCAGGCUCCCAGAAGCCCCUGCGCCUGCACCGCCAUUUGCCGCCGCUUCGCUUGCGGCGGCGGCCAUGUCGUCGCGUCUGAAGGGAGGGCGAGCGCCGCCGGCCCCCCCGUCCUGGCGAGACUCUACCACCAUGGAGUUGUGGGAUUUGUGAAGCAACUUGAAAUGUGAGAUUUCCGGAAAGGGAAAUGGCGAGGAUUUGCUUGCCGAGCACCAGUGCCCUGGAAACCGCGUUUCGUGUUAACGGGGCUCGAGGACCUCGUCAUUCGCUCACGUAAUGACGUAACAAUAGGUUAUUAGUACAGCGAGGACGCGGGCCUCCCACAGUCCCCACCGUCGGACGGCAGGGAACACCAGGGAUGUGCUGACGCCCGCGGGUCACUCUGUUUUGUCAGUUGAACAGGAAUCCUGGGAUGACCGUUCUUGGACUGAAAGAACUGCUUCUGCUUCCCGUUGCCCCUGAGCCCUUUAUUCAAGCUACUGGAACAACGGAUUCUGAGCGCAUUCUUAGUUUCUGUGAAGGACAGCGUCUACAGACUUGCUGGUUCAUGUCUCUUUGACCAAAUAGAAAACGCCUGUGGGGUAGGAGGCUCUCGGCUUGUCCCACCAAUCCUAAGAUCAUCCAUCAGAAUUCGGUGAUGUUAAUGCCUUCUAAGAAGUAUAUAUUUUAAGACCCGAGUAUUACCCAAUGGCCACUCCAGUCUCUGGAAUUCCUCUUCUGGCUUCUACGCAUAGGGCCGGUGGUUUGAUUCUCAAGGUCAUUACCUGAGGACUCUGCAGCCGUGAGAUCACUUGAGUCAAGCUGGAUGCUGAUUCAUCCCAAGGGAGCAAGUAAAUGGAUGUGGAUCCUACCUUUGGUUUUCUCAAUUCUGCUAAGGCCAGAGGAGCUCCGAGUUCCCAAAUCAAGGCCUGUCAAAGAAGAUUGGAAACCAAGAGCAAGUCUGCCUGCACACCCAGAAGCCAUGUGACAUCCCCGGGUUUGCUCUGCAGUCGCGGUGGGACAUCUCUAAAUUUCCUCGUCACAUUUCAGUAUCACAGCGUUUUCCUAUCACUCUUCAACCUGAUGGAACUGUACAUCAAGACAUGCUACAUAACCUUAUUAUUCUGUUAUGGCACAUUUAAAUGGGGGAGUUUCUUUAAACCGAGCUGCCUUGCCAUUAAAUGUGUGAAAAGUAUAUCAUAG